CCUGGAAUAGCACAGUUAGUUAGAGUGUGUGGCUGAUAACCACAAGGUCGAAGGUUCAAACCCUCCUUCUAGUG